GUGGUCUCAGUAGCUACAAAUUCUUUAGGGUUUUUGUAUUGUUUCUCUUGUGUGUUUUCAAUAGGUUUUUUAUGUGUAUCAGUAUGUAUGAUUUUUUUCUCUGAAUGUGUGUGCAGUGGAUGAUUUUGUAGUGAGAAUUGGUGAAGGAUUUGAUACGUGUGACUUCUUGAGGUUGAGAUAUAUUUGUCUCAUCUCAAGUGUGUGAAUUAUGGAGAGGAUAAGGAUGAAUUUUGUUGUACUAUUAGUGAGUUAUCAGGAGAGGAACAAUACCAAAUUUAUGGGAUUUUUAGGUAGUGGAAUAG
rnacentral:lncRNA from 1 species